UGCACUUUCCAUGACUGACUGCCUAAAUUACGAUAAAUGUAUAGGGAAAAUGAAUGCCAGCGCUCGUAAUAAGAGUGUGAGAUCACAGGAAUGAGCAUUAAUCAGAGACAUGCGGCGUUUGUCACCCACUGAUCAUUAAUCAAGAAGGAAAAACAGAAAGCAGCGCUGUUUUAACGCAGGUGUGUGCUGACUCCACGUCCCAUCACGUGCUCAGUGCUGGCAGCGCCCCGGCGAGCCGUCACGAUAUGCCCCGUAGGCAGAUGGCAUUACGACUGCCAGCCCGCGCAUCUUCAAUUCCCCGCGCAGGGAUUUGCUGGUCUAUAGCAGGCAGCCUGGCCUGACACUUUCUAAAGAUAAAGAUGCUGAAAC
rnacentral:lncRNA from 1 species